rnacentral:hammerhead_ribozyme from 1 species
AUCCAACUGACGAGUCCCAAGUAGGACGCAAAACGCAUCCUGGAU